AUUGAACGCUGGCGGCAGGCUUAACACAUGCAAGUCGAACGAGUGGCGGACGGGUGAGUAAUGCUUGGGAAUCUGGCUUAUGGAGGGGGAUAACGACGGGAAACUGUCGCUAAUACCGCGUACCAUAGGAUGAGCCCAAGUGGGAUUAGGUAGUUGGUGGGGUAAUGGCCUACCAAGCCGACGAUCUCUAGCUGGGCUGAGAGGAUGACAAGCCACACCGGGACUGAGACACGGCCCGGACUCCUACGGGAGGCAGAAGUGGGUAAUAUUGCGCAAUGGGGGCAACCCUGACGCAGCCAUGCCGCGUGUGUGAAGAAGGACUUCGGGUUGUAAAGCACUUGCAGCGGGGAGGCGUUACCCGCAGAAGAAGCACCGGCUAACUCCGUGCCAGCAGCCGCGGUAAUUC
rnacentral:rRNA from 1 species